GAUGAACGCUGGCGGCGUGCCUAAUACAUGCAAGUCGAGCGAACAGACGAGGAGCUUGCUCCUCUGACGUUAGCGGCGGACGGGUGAGUAACACGUGGAUAACCCACCUAUAAGACUGGGAUAACUUCGGGAAACCGGAGCUAAUACCGGAUAAUAUAUUGAACCGCAUGGUUCAAUAGUGAAAGACGGUUUUGCUGUCACCUAUAGAUGGAUCCGCGCCGCAUUAGCUAGUUGGUAAGGUAACGGCUUACCAAGGCGACGAUGCGUAGCCGACCUGAGAGGGUGAUCGGCCACACUGGAACUGAGACACGGUCCAGACUCCUACGGGAGGCAGCAGUAGGGAAUCUUCCGCAAUGGGCGAAAGCUUGACGGAGCAACGCCGCGUGAGUGAUGAAGGUCUUCGGAUCGUAAAACUCUGUUAUUAGGGAAGAACAAAUGUGUAAGUAACUAUGCACGUCUUGACGGUACCUAAUCAGAAAGCCACGGCUAACUACGUG
rnacentral:rRNA from 1 species